rnacentral:rRNA from 1 species
AGCUUGCUAAGGCCGAUGGCGACCGGCGCACGGGUGAGUAACACGUAUCCAACCUGCCGAUAACUCGGGGAUAGCCUUUCGAAAGAAAGAUUAAUACCCGAUAGUAUAGUAUUUCCGCAUGGUUUCACUAUUAAAGAAUUUCGGUUAUCGAUGGGGAUGCGUUCCAUUAGAUAGUUGGCGGGGUAACGGCCCACCAAGUCAACGAUGGAUAGGGGUUCUGAGAGGAAGGUCCCCCACAUUGGAACUGAGACACGGUCCAAACUCCUACGGGAGGCAGCAGUGAGGAAUAUUGGUCAAUGGACGAGAGUCUGAACCAGCCAAGUAGCGUGAAGGAUGACUGCCCUAUGGGUUGUAAACUUCUUUUAUACGGGAAUAAAGUGGAGUAUGCAUACUCCUUUGUAUGUACCGUAUGAAUAAGGAUCGGCUAACUCCGUGCCAGCAGCCGCGGUAAUACGGAGGAUCCGAGCGUUAUCCGGAUUUAUUGGGUUUAAAGGGAGCGUAGGCGGGUGCUUAAGUCAGUUGUGAAAGUUUGCGGCUCAACCGUAAAAUUGCAGUUGAUACUGGGCGCCUUGAGUGCAGCAUAGGUAGGCGGAAUUCGUGGUGUAGCGGUGAAAUGCUUAGAUAUCACGAAGAACUCCGAUUGCGAAGG